rnacentral:rRNA from 1 species
ACAUGCAAGUCGAACGAGAAACUCGCUACGGCGAGUGGAGAGUGGCGAACGGGUGAGUAACACGUUGGUGACCUGCCCCGAGAAGGGGGAUAACCACCGGAAACGGUGGCUAAUACCGCAGAGGUUCAGGGGGUUAGAGGCCUUGAACUAAAGCUGAGGCGUCUCGGGAGGGGCCUGCGGGCUAUCAGCUGGUUGGUGAGGUAAGAGCUCACCAAGGCGAAGACGGCUAGGGGGCGUGAGAGCGCGACCCCCCACAAUGGAACUGAGACACGGUCCAUACUCCUACGGGAGGCAGCAGUGAGGAAUAUUGCCCAAUGGGGGAAACCCUGAGGCAGCAACGCCGCGUGGACGAAGAAGGCUUUCGGGUCGUAAAGUCCUUUUCUGAGGGAAGAUAAUGACGGUACCCCAGGAAGAAG